rnacentral:rRNA from 1 species
GACAGAGGCCUCAAGCGUUAGGCGGAAUCACUGGGCUUAAAGCGUGUGUAGGCGGACUUCUAAGUGCCUUGUGAAAUCCCACGGCUCAACCGUGGAACUGCUGGGCAUACUGGGAGUCUUGGGCCAUUCAGGGGCAACUGGAACAAGCGGUGGAGCGGUGAAAUGCGUAGAUAUCGCUUGGAACGCCGAAGGUGAAAACAGGUUGCUGGGGAUGCGCCGACGCUGAGACACGAAAGCCAGGGGAGCAAACGGGAUUAGAAACCCCCGUAGUCC